GUUCCUGUGGCGCAGUGGAUAGCGCGUUGGUCUUCUUAUCCAAGUAUCUGGAGUCCGAAUCCAGCAGGGGUG